GACGAACCGUGCGAACGUUGUUCGGAAUUACUGGGCGUAAAGGGCGCGUAGGCGGCCCUGUCAGUCAGAAGUGAAAGCCUGGGGCUCAACCUCAGAAUUGCUUUUGAUACUGCUUGACUAGAGUGCCAGAGGGGAUAGUGGAAUUCUUAGUGUAGAGGUGAAAUUCGUAGAUAUUAAGAGGAACACCAGUAGGCGAAAGCGACUGAUCUGGCUGGUUACUGACG
rnacentral:rRNA from 1 species